CCUACGGGAGGCUGCAGUGAGGAAUAUUGGUCAAUGGACGAGAGUCUGAACCAGCCAAGUAGCGUGAAGGAUGACUGCCCUAUGGGUUGUAAACUUCUUUUAUAUGGGAAUAAAACGUUCCACGUGUGGGAUUUUGUAUGUACCAUAUGAAUAAGGAUCGGCUAACUCCGUGCCAGCAGCCGCGGUAAUACGGAGGAUCCGAGCGUUAUCCGGAUUUAUUGGGUUUAAAGGGAGCGUAGGGGGAUGGUUAAGUCAGUUGUGAAAGUUUGCGGCUCAAACGUAAAAUUGCAGUUGAAACUGGCAGUCUUGAGUACAGUAGAGGUGGGCGGAAUUCGUGGUGUAGCGGUGAAAUGCUUAGAUAUCACGAAGAACUCCGAUUGCGAAGGCAGUUCACUGGACUGCAACUGACACUGAGGCUCGAAAGUGUGGGUAUCAAACAGGAUUAGAUACCCUUGUAGUC
rnacentral:rRNA from 1 species